UCAGGACGAACGCUGGCGGCGUGCCUAAUACAUGCAAGUCGUACGCUUCUUUUUCCACCGGAGCUUGCUCCACCGGAAAAAGAGGAGUGGCGAACGGGUGAGUAACACGUGGGUAACCUGCCCAUCAGAAGGGGAUAACACUUGGAAACAGGUGCUAAUACCGUAUAACAAUCGAAACCGCAUGGUUUUGAUUUGAAAGGCGCUUUCGGGUGUCGCUGAUGGAUGGACCCGCGGUGCAUUAGCUAGUUGGUGAGGUAACGGCUCACCAAGGCCACGAUGCAUAGCCGACCUGAGAGGGUGAUCGGCCACAUUGGGACUGAGACACGGCCCAAACUCCUACGGGAGGCAGCAGUAGGGAAUCUUCGGCAAUGGACGAAAGUCUGACCGAGCAACGCCGCGUGAGUGAAGAAGGUUUUCGGAUCGUAAAACUCUGUUGUUAGAGAAGAACAAGGAUGAGAGUAACUGUUCAUCCCUUGACGGUAUCUAACCAGAAAGCCACGGCUAACUACGUGCCAGCAGCCGCGGUAAUACGUAGGUGGCAAGCGUUGUCCGGAUUUAUUGGGCGUAAAGCGAGCGCAGGCGGUUUCUUAAGUCUGAUGUGAAAGCCCCCGGCUCAACCGGGGAGGGUCAUUGGAAACUGGGAGACUUGAGUGCAGAAGAGGAGAGUGGAAUUCCAUGUGUAGCGGUGAAAUGCGUAGAUAUAUGGAGGAACACCAGUGGCGAAGGCGGCUCUCUGGUCUGUAACUGACGCUGAGGCUCGA
rnacentral:rRNA from 1 species